UGGAUAGGAAUGAUUUGAAAUGAAGAUAUUUGGAUUUAACUUUUAGUGUAAAUCAAAAUAUGUAAGCUUUCUUUUGGUUGGUAACAUUUCUUAACAGAGAAUACAAGUGAAUCACAACUUGUUCAUUUGAAAUAAUUUAUGGCAAAUAAUUUCAAAUUUGUCUUCUUCUCCUCCUUUACUACUUGAACAGAAAGCUCAUAUUCAAACCUUGAAUUUCAAAACCAAUCUUCUUAGAAAAGGAGAAGGAAAUAAAAAUACUUGACAGUAGCUUCCUCAAGCAUUUUAAACUGGUACACUUCUAUGUCUGUCCAUAUUAUAAGCAACCCAAAAAAAAAGAGUAAAAUACAAAAUCAUCGAAUAAUCCGGUCAUAGAAAGAUAUGCUCAUGUUCCAGCCUUUUCAACUAUAGAGACAAAAAGUCACCCUAAUGCUGCUAAGGACAUAAAAAUUCCAUUUCUUUCUAUGAAACAAAUAAACUCUUAUUAGCUUUCAUCUAAAGUGCAGUAAAUUCAGAUUGAGGUUUCAAGAUCUUAACUCUGCUCAAUGACCAGAAAACUCAACUUGAACUUAAAAAGCUAGCAACAAAAUAUUAUGCAUUGGAUUGAAAUUAAUCCUUUAGAGAAUCUGAAUAAAGAAAACUAAAAAUAUAACUUGAUUGAAU
rnacentral:misc_RNA from 1 species